rnacentral:rRNA from 1 species
UACAGAGGGUGCAAGCGUUAAUCGGAAUUACUGGGCGUAAAGCGUGCGUAGACGGUUGCGUAAGUCAGAUGUGAAAGCCCCGGGCUCAACCUGGGAAUUGCAUUUGAGACUGCGUAGCUAGGGUGCGGAAGAGGGAAGCGGAAUUUCCGGUGUAGCGGUGAAAUGCGUAGAUAUCGGGAGGAACACCAGUGGCGAAGGCGACUACCUGGCCUGUUCUUGACGCUGAGGCGCGAAAGCUAGGGGAGCAAACAGG